UUUCUAAAACAUAGCUUCAGGAUAUAAAUCUGAGGUUAAAUCUGCCCAAUGUAUAUUAUUAAUAAUUAUAAAUGGCCGCGGUACUUUGACCGUGCUAAGGUAGCGCAAUUAAUUGGCUUUUAAAUGGAGUCAUGUAUGAAUGGAAUCACGGAGUUUAACUGUCUCUAAACUAAUUUAUUGAAAUUACUACGUAGGUGAAAAAGCCUUCAAUUAGAAAAAAGACGAGAAGACCCUUAGAGUUUUAUUUAAAGUAAAAUAAUUUUUUAUAAUAAUUUAGUUGGGGCAACAAAGGAACAUGUUUAUUAAAUUUCCUUAAUUUUAUUUAUCGAUUUUUAUAAUUUUAGUUAAACUACCUUAGGGAUAACAGCAUAAUUUAAUUAAUAAGUUUGUGACCUCGAUGUUGGACUAGGGAACUAAAAGGUUAGUCGCUUUUUAGCAAGGUUCUGUUCGAACUAAUAAUCCUACGUGA
rnacentral:rRNA from 1 species